GGUGGUGGUGGCAGGGGAAGAACAUUCUUGACACGCAAAGGGAGAAACCUUGACUGAGCCAACCUAUGGGGAUUGAAGAAUUUGAAGGGCAAGUAGUUGAUGUUAGUUGGAAGUUUUAAAAUGCUGGGAUCCUGCUUUUAUUAGAGGAUCACAUCAGUUUUUAUUGGUUGGUUUCUUGUAAUUAUUGUGAAUUAAAGAAAGCCAAGCUGCUCUGUUUUCCUGUUGUUUAGAUACAAUCAAUACUCUAUAGGCUGCUAUUAUAGCAUUCAUAAUUUACAAUGUUAUUGCACACUAUGCAGUAGAGAAUUUUUUUUUUUAAUUUUUAAA